AUCAAUCAUCUGGCCUUCCUUUUCUUAGAAAUGAUUUUUAUUAUUUUCUUGCUUAGAGCAUUCUUCCUAAACAUGAGAUUUGAUAAGUAAUUCAUGCUGGGUUUUUCAAAAUAUAUUGCAACUUCUUUUACUGAUCAUUUUGAAAUGAAACUGUCAACGCAUGUUUAAGACUUAAAUAAGAUGAAGAUUGUCUAACACAGGAAUACAUAGUUAUCAAUUUUAAUGUUUUCUUAAAACUAUCAGGAUUUUUUAAUGCAGCAAAUAGUCAUUCUUUGCAUCUGUUACAGGCUGUUGGUUAGGCAGCCUGCCGACGUGCUUUCUUUGAAGGGGUGCUACAGAGAUGCGGGCUGUUGGAAAUCACAGCCACCGUCUGAAAGAGAUGUCCGCAUCCUCAAGGGGAGAGAGAGCUGGGAGAUUGUGCAGGAUGUUUUAAAGAAAAAGGUAUGGGGGCAGCUUGGAUACAUCUCAUUGACCUUAUCUAACUAUAGGACCCCAGCCCAACUGCAAAGGAGUCUGGGAAAUGGAGAGGAGCACAUGGAUACUUGAGACUUUAAUAGUAACGUUGGGAAGUGCUUGCUUCAGGGAGAAAAACCCAAAAUCAAAACAGUGGAGCCCAUGGGGGUUGAACCUCGAUAUACCAAGAAUUAUGUCUACAAACCCACUGAAUCACACAGAACACUGACUGAACUCCGGCAGAGUGUUUCUCGCUUUGAAAUACAGGAGAAUUCUCACAAAAUCCAGAAGAGAGGUGGGGCUUGGGCAUAGCCCUCACGGAGGCAGGGCUGAAAGCUGAAUCCACACCCAGCAGCCCUGUAACUUCACAGGCCAGGCGGGACUGAGAUUUGUUUACAGCCCCAGGUAGAGCGGGUGGAUUUGCUCUCUGGACCCACGCCUCUAGGGCAAACAAGCAGUAAGCAGAGUUCUGAUACACGGCAGAGGUCUCUCAGUAAUGACCCAGACAGCACACAAGGCACACAUUUGCAAAUUCCAGCAUGACACCUUGUACUUGCUGUGCGAACAUGUGGCACAUGUGCUGGAUUCUUGUCUCCAGCACCAAGAGGAUCCUGCUGAAGAAUGCUAUGUCAAGGCUUUACCUGGCAAAGGGAUGCAGACUUGGUAUUUUCAGUUAACUUUAUAAAACCUGUAAGAAUUCUAGAAAAGUGCUUUCACAUACACACUUUAGAGAUACAAGCACCUUGAUUGAAAUCGAAGUCUGAAGAGAUGGAUGGAGAACAUUAAAUCCCCAUAUAGAAAAAGGGAAACACUGUACCCGACAAAGAGAAGUUGAUUUAGAAGCUUUUAGAAAGAGUAUGCACACAUUUCAGUUUUAGGAGGAAGCUUAGCUACUUAGCUGAUGACAAUUUUGCUGAGAUAUUCAAACAUGAUAAUGCUUAGAGGUCUUUCAGGUUUUUCCCAACAUACAGGGCCAGGAGAAAAAGGUACUCAAGGUACCUUGGAGAGGAGAGGCUUCUACAAUUACAACCUAGGAGAAGGUAAGAGAGAGAAAAAUGCAGCUGUGUCAAUGUGACUGAGAUCUUGGAUCUGAUUUUCUUAUAUCAGCUCUCUUGUGAUAUUAGCUAAAAUUCAAGUCAGAUUCUGGUGAGGAUUCAAAUCUCAACACAGAGACCGUCCAACAAAAUAGAACCAUCAAAAGUUGCCGGGAGCAACAUUUUUUGGUAAGAUGAGAUGUGUCAUCCUUCAGUAGGGACAAUGGUCUACUCAGGCCAGAGGAGAUGGUAUCAGCUGGAGGCAGGCAAGACUGUCCUCCAUGGCUCAGUCACAGAGCUGGGGAGCAUCUCAGUGUCUCUUAGCACUGUGACUCUGUCUUUCACAAACACCAAGAAAUCCUUUGGGGAUUUAUUGCACAUAUUAUUUAUUUACUAAGUCAUCGAGGUUUGUAAAAAAUGUGCUUUUUAUUUGUCUUUAACUUAACUUAUUAAAAGUUUUAAAGAGAUUCACACUGUUCUAACCUUUUGGAAUUUAUGUUCACAUCAUCCAAAUAGCAAGCGGUAUUAAGCAUUUUUAUAUAGCCUCCGUGAGCUCUUCACAGGGCUGACAGGUCAGUAUUUUAGCAAGGUCUCAGGUGACCAUCACUUUAUCCCUGUGGCCUCUUAGUCAUCUCCUUCUAGAUUUCAUUAUUUCUCUUCUGAUAUGUAGAUUCUAGAUAUUGUGGAAAUGAAAGGAUUGAAUCAAGCUUUCUCAAGUUUUCUCUGUUGUUUACAUUUGCCUUGUUAAUAGUGUCAACCACAGCGUUGGCUUUAUUGACUAGAUCUGUACACUGAUCUAAUGUCCUUAAGGGAAGGACAAAGAUAAAAACCCUUUUUCCUAGGCAGACUGUGGGUGGGGCUGAGAGGUGUGCAAAAGCUAAGAAUUCUUUACUUAGCAUACAUAAUUUUGAGUAUCUACCCUUUCAUUCAGAGUGCUUAUAAAGAAGUUAGAAAAGAACAGUGUUUUGCAGCUCUGAUCCCUGAGAAACCCUGUUUUUAUCUAAUUCUACUGAUAGAGUGAACAGAUCUGAGACCUGAAAGAGAAGACAGAUCUGGCUAUUGCCAUCUUCCCCAGCAUUUCUGACAUGGAACUUUCAGCCCAUCCAUGACAAGUCUCAAUGUAAUAAAGCAGGUAUGUAUUUAGACACUUGGAAACCCUGCCUUCUUAUUAGGCUGAAAUAUGCCUCUUUCUAACAUCCAUGUAUCAAUCUUACAGCUUUAUUCUCAACACACAUAGAAUUCUAGGUGUUAAAAGAAAAGCACUUUAGACAUAUUUAACAAUAACUGACACAAACCUUUCAUACUCAAACCACUGCUUUAGGCUGAACAUUUAUGGUUCCUUACAAAGUUCCCUAUGUUAGAUGAUUUUCAGACUUAUCUUGAUUGCAUUCCAUUAGAUACCUUCUGCUUUAACUGUGAUUCUAUGAAAAAGUGGUAUUUGCUUGUACAUAGUAUGGAGUUGUUAUGCCAAUGGCUCAAAAACUGAGUGCAGCUUUGCUGUGGAUACAAUGCUUCUAUCAAGGCAGGCUAAGAUUUAAAACUAUUAUAUUACAUUUUGGGUCAUGACUGAUUGAUUUAUGGUUGAAUAAACUGAGCUUUUCCAUAAAAUUUCUCUUAAGCCAGGACUUCCCCAAUUUUGUGCUUGUAAAAUGGGUUUAUAGUGCAUGUAGAAAUUUAUAUUCAUCCCAGUUUUUCAUUGAAUUCAUGACAUUUUAAAAUUAGCAAUUUCUAGUUAAAAUAAUGGUCCUUUUUUUAAAUAGUGGAAACUUAGUAGUUAUAGAUUAAGUAUCUAUUUCAUAAAGUAAGCAUUUACAUAUUAUGUGAGUAUAAAAUCUGAUUUUUGUGGGUGACAUAAAGGACUUAUACUUACUAAUUUAUGAUUCAGCAUCAUAAAACUCAUUUUUAUAUACUUAGUAUCAACAUUAUUUGAAUUUUCUGGACUGUUGAACAUUUUAGAGUUACAACUUGAAUCAAUGCUUUAAGUGAUUUAAAGCCUUAUGAAAAAUUUCACAGAAUUAGUAUGCACAAAUGAUGUUAAACAUAAUAUUUAUCCAUAUGAAUAUUGUACAUGAGACACUUCAGUUGUUUCUGAUUCUUUGGCCACAUUAUUCAUAUGCUUUAGGCUGAGCAACAAUUUAUGUCCUACUUUGCCUUAUAUUGGAACAUUGCAAAAUUCCAAACUUUUCAUUUAAAAAAGUAAAAUAAAAGUUACUGUGUUAAAAUGUGUAGAAAAUUGUUUUCUGAAAGUUUCAGUGAGUGGUAUAAAUCUACAUCAUGUUUAAAAAAAUCUUAUUGGAAGUUCUGCUUGUUUUGUGAAACUUCUGUUAGUGAUUGGAUAUAAAAAAUUUGAAACCAAAGUCUGAUUCAUUUAUCCGACAUAGACUCUAGCUAUUAUUCAGAGAAUUCAAUUUUCUAGGAAAACAUACCAGUACCCUGAAACCAUUUCAUGAUUGAAUGGCUGGUAUAUCAUUCUUGAUGGUUUUCUCUGCAAUCAAUUCCACUAAACCAAUGAAACCCUGUAACAAAAUUAGCCUAAAUAUAAGUACAUUCUUCCAGCUGUAAUAAGGAAGCAAGAACCAGUUUCCAGGUAAAUUCUAGGAAAUGUUCCUUGGAAAAUUGUGCAAAUUGAGAAUCACAUUCUAAGAAGUACAAAGAGGAAAAAAGGUUCUUGUUGGAGGUAGUAGAUGUGUUAACAAGAAUCUACAUUGAUUAGUAGUCUAGAGAAGAAUAAGCUGGGGGAUGAGUCCUCACUAUUGGACAUCCCAACAAUGCUGCAGGAAAAAUUCUCAUCAGCAGAGAAGAACAGGAAGCUGUCUUCUAACCCAAAGCAUCUUGAAUAAAACUGUUGCCUUCCAAAAGUGCAGAUGAAGUAAGGCCAUAGCCAACCAAAAUAAUUCGUCAGCAGAACAUUUCUGUAUGGUUUAGGAUGUGUUGGGCUAAUAUAGUCACAGUGUUUGCAGACACGUCAUUCCAGUAAGGAGCGUAGAGUUCAUAUGUACAACUUUUUUAAUAUGAGUGUGCCGUGGAAGAUUAUCCAAAGGGCUGGGGUUGGGGGUUCUAAUCUUUGCCCUCAGCUCCUGGGAGGUAAUCUCUAAACCUUGUAAUAUCCUACAUGAUUAGAGUAUCUCUGUUUAUCUGGGGGCUGUGGUAAGAUAAUCCGUGAUAACAGUGUGAUGUAUGGUGGGGCUUUGGGCCACCUUGACCACUGGAGGGGCAGGAGACUAAGGUCAGCCAUGCAUGUGCUCAACCAUGUCUCCAUGUCUAAGCCUCAACAAAUACUCUGAACAUC